CCAUCGUUGUAAUUCAACUAUGAGAAC
rnacentral:tRNA from 1 species